rnacentral:rRNA from 1 species
AGUGAACGCUGGCGGUAGGCCUAACACAUGCAAGUCGAACGGCAGCACAGUAAGAGCUUGCUCUUACGGGUGGCGAGUGGCGGACGGGUGAGGAAUACAUCGGAAUCUACUUUUUCGUGGGGGAUAACGUAGGGAAACUUACGCUAAUACCGCAUACGACCUACGGGUGAAAGCAGGGGAUCUUCGGACCUUGCGCGAUUGAAUGAGCCGAUGUGGGAUUGGCUAGUUGGGGGGGUAAAGGCCCACCAAGGCGACGAUCCGUAGCUGGUCUGAGAGGAGGACCAGCCACACUGGAGCGGAGGCACGGUCCAGACUCCGACGGGAGGCAGCAGCGGGGAAUAUUGCACAAUGGGCGCAAGCCUGAUGCAGCCAUGCCGCUUGUAUGAAGAAGGCCUUCGGGUUGUAAAAUACUUUCAGCGGGGAGGAAGGGAGUAAAGUUAAUACCUUUACUCAUUGACGUUACCCGCAGAAGAAGCACCGGCUAACUCCGUG